GUGCUCACUUCAGCAGCACAUCUAGUAAAAUUGGAAUGAUACAGAGAAGAUUAGCAUGGCCCCUGUGCAAGGAUGGCAUGCAAAUUCAUGGAGCAUUCAAUUUUUUU
ensembl:snRNA U6 U6 spliceosomal RNA